GAGAGAGAGAGAGAGAGAGAACCUGGUUGUGUCCCUAACCAGCAGCUUGUUUACUUCUUCUGCAGGACAGUUCUGAUUUCUAAUCUUAAGAUGGAUUCUUUCUUUUGUUGUUUUAAUUUGAUUUGUUAUGCAUGAAAGAAUAGCAAGCUCACAAACAUAGCGGAAGCAAUGGUAGAGAAUUCUAGAUGAAGUAACAUUUUAGGAAAGAAAAGAAAAACAGAUGUAAAAUUAAAUAUUAUCAAGGCAAGCCUAUGUGUGUGCUUCCCACUUGACUUAAGCAGUUUGUGCCUCAAGUAUGCCUUCCACGAGUACAAUUAUAGAGAAGGGUAAUUGUUGCAAUGAAUGGUAUCAUGAAUAACAGUAUAACCUCUAAGGCUAGAAAAUUUAUACAACACAAGGAUCGGAAAGUAGGUUAAACAAGCUGAAGAAAGAAAUUACUAGGAAGAGAGCAAGAUAAAAGAUCCCUUCGAAAAAGAUAAGGAAAAAUACAAUAGAAACCAACAGAAAAAAUGAACUGCCAAAAAUAAGAGUUUAUCAUCCUGUUGAACAUCAAUUAAAUUGGUUCCAUUAAAAGCUCUAGCUGAUGAUCCUCAAUUCCAAACCAAGGUUAUAUGAAAGUUUAAUGGAACAGAGAUUUAGCAACGGAUGAACUGAUUUAAUGGAGUGAUGCUCAGCACCAGCAAUCAGAGAGUUGAACAGAACAAAGAAAAGAAUUAAGGCACAAGAAAUACAGACUCAGGCAUGUGCACAACCGAAAAAAGGUUAAAAUUGCCUGCAAAAUAAUAAAGAUAGAAAAACACUUUACUCCAAUAUCUUCUGAAAAAUCUCAUCUUAACAACACUGCUCAAAUUACAACUGACCUCUGACAGUGAAAUAUGAAACCUAGCAUCAUCACCUUGUAUCCCCCUAAGCACUUUGAUACCAGAAAUAAAUAAAAUAAAAGUCAACUAUCAAAAUUAAAAUGUGGCCUGGGUUACAAGGCAGCAAUGCAAAUAACUCAUUGAUAUAUCAAGGUUCAGAAGGUAAUAGCAGCAAAAGAAAAACACAAAGCUCACAGAAAAGCUAAGUAGAGGCACAUGAUGAUAAUAUGAAAUGCUUGCAUGCAGAAUAAGUGGUAAAUUAAGGAGCAACGACAAACCACACUCCCAAUUUGUGCAUAUUC
rnacentral:misc_RNA from 1 species